rnacentral:rRNA from 1 species
AUUGAACGCUGGCGGCAGGCCUAACACAUGCAAGUCGAGCGGAGCGGCGGACGGGUGAGUAAUGCCUAGGAAUCUGCCUGGUCGUGGGGGAUAACGUCCGGAAACGGGCGCUAAUACCGCAUACUAUCAGAUGAGCCUAGGUCGGAUUGGCUUGUUGGUGGGUAAAGGCCUACCAAGGCGACGAUCCGGAACUGGUCUGAGAGGAGGAUCAGUAACACUGGAACUGAGACACGGUCCAGAUGCCUACGGGAGGCAGCAUGGGGGAAUAUUGGACAAUGGGCGAAAGCCUGAUCCAGCCAUGCCGCGUGUGUGAAGAAGGUCUUCGGAUUGUAAAGCACUUUAAGUUGGGAGGCGUUACCAACAGAAGAAGCACCGGCUAACUUCGUGCCAGCAGCCGCGGUAAUAC